GGAAGUAAAGGGGCUACAAGGGAUCCAUGGAAAGAGCAUUCCCAGAAGCGGGGCCAGGGCAGUGCGCACAGUGAGGAGAGCAGGUGUGUGUGAGGUUGAAACAAAACGUUCAAAGCCCCCUCGGAAGCCCAUCCACAGGUGUGUGACUGUGAACCGCAUCGUAAUCUCCUAGAAAGCAAGAACAUCAGGCUUACAUUUUCCACUUGCCUCUCACGGCUCAGAGCUCUGCAGUAUAUACAUUGAGGAAACUGGGCCCUGAGACAUUAACUUGCCCAAAAGAUCACAGUGGGCAACAUUCUAGAGCACAGUGGAAGCCGACAGCAAUGUCAGUGAAGAUGGAAAACAGAACGUGGAGAGAGAUGUAGCUUACUAGAGCCCUGUGGCUUCAAUCCCCACCAGGAAUGUCGUUUAAGAGGAAGGACAUAUCACACACCAACCGUGUGCAAAGCACUCUACCUAAAGAUCAGCGCUAACAGAGGAAUAAGCAGAGGCCUCCAGGAGCAAAGAGUGAAAAGUCUCCCAAGGAUUCAAGUACGGGGGAAGUGGGUGGAGCUUUCACCGUAGAAUCUUUCCUGGAGAAAAAGCAAAGAGUGGGACAACAAUGAAGGCAUUAAAAAUAACUGUCAAGUUGAAGAAAAAAUCUGAAGUUUAUCAAUACAUGAUCUCCUCAAAAACGAAAGGAAUAAAACAAGUAUCUGCAAUUUGCUGAGAACUUAAUAUGUGUCAGUUGCCUGCAAAACUCAUCAUUCUUUAGACUUUCAAAUACAUCUGUGAGGACGGUAUUGUUGUUUCCACUUACACAUGAGAAGGCAAGAGACAAGCCCACGGUCACCCAGCUGGUAUUUUGCCAAAGACUAAGGAUUCGGAGAUGACUACGGAAAGCAGAGCAUGAUGUUGUUCGAUCAUCAUCUCUCUCCAUCCACUAGGAAAACUAAGCUCCAUGAGAAGAGGGGACUUGCCCAUGUGGCUCAGGGCUCUAUGCCCAGUGCCCUAGACAGUGCCUGACUGUGUGUGCGGAAUGAAUGAAUAACCUUGGUGAUCCACCCAAUGGCACUGGCGCUCAGUGACCUCAUCUGAAAUGGAAUAAGGAUUUUAUGAAAAUGCAUGUUUGUUGAAUAACACAAAGGAGAAUAUUAUCUAAUGUGGCUUGGGGUCAAUAUCAAGCAGUAAUAUUGUUUUAGUAUUAAUUAGAGCCGUGUCAUUGCAA
rnacentral:lncRNA from 1 species